AUACAGAGGGUGCGAGCGUUAAUCGGAAUUACUGGGCGUAAAGCGCGCGUAGGCGGCUUGGUCAGUCGGAUGUGAAAGCCCCGGGCUCCACCUGGGAAUGGCAUUCGAUACUGCCAGGCUAGAGUAUGGGAGAGGGAAGUGGAAUUUCCGGUGUAGCGGUGAAAUGCGUAGAUAUCGGAAGGAACACCAGUGGCGAAGGCGACUUCCUGGCCCAAUACUGACGCUGAGGUGCGAAAGCGUGGGGAGCGAACAGGAUUAGAUACCCUAGUAGUCC
rnacentral:rRNA from 1 species